CUUAGUAAUAAAUAUGUAUGUACAUGAUAAUAAAACAUAAUCAUAUAAUAAUCAUAAUAGAUUUGUUUAAAUCAAAACAAACAUAAUACAAACAACUUAAUUAAAAUAUAAAAAAACAUAAACAUCAAUUAAAGAUUACAUUGUGAAACAUAAAUUGAAAAACCUAAAGUUGGUCACAGGCAAAUAAUGAAAGCAAGUUUAGUUCAAUUUCAAAUAACACCAAAUAUAAAUCACAUUUUUUCUUUACAAGAAACUUUUUUUUUAUUGUUCGUAUGAUUUUCCUUCUUCCAAUAUUUGUUCUUGUUUUUUUUGUCUUCUCCAAUUUAAAAACGAAAAAAGAAAAAGUAUAAAUAGAUGUUGAUUGAUGUACAUUAAACACAUUCUUCUUGAAAACAUAAGAGUCAAUGCAUACAUUAAACUAUUUAAAGUCCCAAUGUGCCACUCAAGAUGACCAAUAGAGUUUCUCCUUUAUCUUUUUUCUUUUUCUUUUUACGAAGAUAAAAUUAAUUUAUUAACUGUAAUUCCCUUUUAGAUAACCCAUGUCUUUUAUUUAUUAUUUGAAUAAUAGCUAAUGAGUCAUCCAAAAAAUUAAAAUAGCCCAAAUAUCAUUUUAGAUGAUCUAUUUAUUUAAUUCAUUAAUCUGAACGAUAGUUAAAAGGCUGAUCUGAAAAUUUAAAAUAGACACAAAAUGUUGGCGAAUUUGAUCAAGACCCAAAACUACAAGAAAAUAAGCUCAGUAACACAAAAAAUAAGGUACAAAAAUUAAAAUAAAAAUAAAAAUGAAAUUCAAAAAAUAAUAAUUAAAAAAUUCAAGCCACAACUUUAACAUGGUAAAACUGGAAAAAUACUAACAAACCAAUACAAAUCCGUCCUCAAAAUGACUUAUUUUGUUAAAAGGAAAUGAUGAUGACAAAUUUGAAUAGAGGUUUAGAGGGGGGGAAGAUUGACAUUAAUUUUCGGUCGAAUGGGGUUGCCAAAAGACUUCACCAGAAAUUUUUUAUGGUUUUUUGACAAAUUCAGAUCAAAGAAUAGCCCUUAAAGAUAUCCACACAUUUAUGUAAAGGGUAUGAUAUCGCGAUGAUCGUAACUUCGUAAAUCUAAACAAAAAGUGAAGAUUUAUGUUUAGCUUUUCUUAGAUCUCGGAUUUUGGCUAUGUAUAUGGAUGAAUGAUUUUCAUAUUUGUGUAGAAAAGGGUGAAAAGAAGAGAUGAUAAAGUUUUUGGAUAUUUUUCCGGUGACACGGUGGUGGCCAACGCCGAUAGUGACAGCGCCGGGAAGGUGGAAGAAAAAUUGGUGAGAAAAUAAAGUUUAAUUUUGGAGUUUCUUAUUUUGUUAGGGUCCCAUAUAAGACCUUGAAUAAAAAUAUCAUGAAUGGUUGAUAUUGGAUCUUGACCAUUUCUAUUGGAUCGAGUUGUAAUUGAUUGGGCCAUAAACAAUUGGUUUUGAUCAGCCAAGUUAAAACAAAAUUAGGUAAUUUGACUAAUAAAAAAUACAAACAAAGACAAUCAACAAAAAAAUACAAAGAAUAUAUAAAAAAUACACUAUAUUAUAUUAUAGGAAUAAAAUAAAUAAGCCAAAAUUAGGUGUUCACACCAUACCCCUAUUGGUUUCGAAAAAUGGACAUUUUUCAAUCAAAAUAAGUGAACGAAGUGGCUAAUGUUUUCCUGUUUCAGUCUCCGAUGAAACCAUUUUUAAAAAUAUUAGGAACCUUGCUUCAGAGGUUGCCUAGAUAUCCUUGAUCUUAAGAAAAUCAGGGCAGUGUAGUUAGAGAAACUUUGAUAGCCAAAACUAUCAUGAACAGUGGCCAAUAGAUUGCUUCAUCAUGAUUUUCGUCAUCUACCAUCUAUAAUUACAAAGAAAAGAGCUAGAUAAUGAUUCCUCUAUAUAUUAUAAAAGUUCAAAUAUCUCCACUUGAUAUUUUUUCUUAGCGUCUCAUUUUUAGCUUUGAUUUGUUCAUUGCGUUAUCUCUGAGAUUUAUCUUUGUACUCUCUCGGUGGCUUGUCGAUCACUCUCACAUGCAUAUUUUGACUUGAGUUGGCGGUUGAAACUCAAAAUAAAGAUCACAAAUUAAGAAUAAAAAAAGAUUGUGUUUCUUUUAGUAAAUAACAAAAAAUAAGAAUCUUAAACUAGGACGUAUAACCCUAGAAAGAAGAGGAGGAAUGAGUGUAUUUCCCUAUGAGUUUAAAAUGAGAUGUAUGGUCUUUAUGGAUUGACCUAAUAUUAGGUGUAUCAACUAAAUGUGAAUAUAGUGUAUAUAAGCCAUGGAUUUUGGUGUGUAUUCCGCAGGUUUUGCAUAUGGUGAGUCUUUCCAUAAAUAGAGAAUUGUUAUGUUUUACAUAUGAAUAAGGACUGGGACGAAUUGUACUUGAAAAAAAUCUAGUGUGUAUUGAACAUGAAUGCAUUAUCAUUUUGUAUUGCAUGGGACAUGGAUUGGUACAUCUAGGUCAUGAAAUAAAGGUAGGUAAGAGAGAGUAGCGGGUGUUACAAUAAAUUGUUGAUAUAGUUCAACCUCCCAAGUGGACUCAUGAUUUCUGUCUUAUUAUUCGAAGGUGGAGAAUCCAAAAUGGCUUUUAUUUCGUAAGUUUUACAAAUGGAACUCCAAAUGCACAUUUUUUUGGAUUAAACUUGAGAUUAUACCUUCAAAGUCUUUCAAAGAAUUCUCUUAGAUCUUGGACAUGGUCAACUUUCAUUUUAGACUUGAUUAUUACGUCGUCGACGUAAAAUUCAAUUUAUUUAUGCAUCAUAUCAUGAAAUAUGGUGGUCAUAGCCGUCAUGUAAGUUACCUAGUCAUUAAUAAGACCAAAUGUCAUGACCCUUUAGCAAUAAGUCUACCAUAGAGCAAUGAAAAAGUUUUCUCAGCGUCGUCUUCAUCCAUCAAGAUUUCAUGAUACCCCGCAUAACAGGCCUCAAAAGAUUCAAUGUAUUGUUUCUUUAAUCAUUGUCUAUAAUGUCGAUAUUUGGAAAGUGAAAGUUUUCCUUUGGACUAGCCUUGUUAAAAUGUCGAUAGUCAAUAGAGAUUGUUUUCAUUCCAUCCUUUUUCCGCAUAGGAACAACAUUUUAAAACUAAGUAGUGUAAUGAAUGACUUGGAUCACAUUUGCAUUUCAUUAUUUCAUGACUUCUUCCUUAAUAUUUUGACUCAGGUAUGGUUUAAAUUUCCUUUUUCUCUGUUGGACGGGUGGAAUAUCUAGAUGAUUGGGCAAAUUAUGAACCACUAAAUCAACACUCAAACCUGACAUUUCAUCUUAAGAUCAAUAAAAAACAUCUUAGUAUUCAAACAAAAGUUGUAUUAUGACAUUUCUAAUUCCUUGAUUGUUAUGAAGAAUUAAUUUUAUUGUCUUAACUUCCUCAGUACUUCCCAAAUUUAUUGUCUAGGUUUCACUAAGAUUAGUCUUAGGUUUAUGCUUAAACUAUUGUG
rnacentral:lncRNA from 1 species